AUUGAACGCUGGCGGCAGGCCUAACACAUGCAAGUCGAGCGGAUGGAGGGAGCUUGCUCCUGGAUUCAGCGGCGGACGGGUGAGUAAUGCCUAGGAAUCUGCCUGGUAGUGGGGGAUAACGUCCGGAAACGGGCGCUAAUACCGCAUACGUCCUGAGGGAGAAAGUGGGGGAUCUUCGGACCUCACGCUAUCAGAUGAGCCUAGGUAGGAUUAGCUAGUUGGUGGGGUAAAGGCCUACCAAGGCGACGAUCCGUAACUGGUCUGAGAGGAUGAUCAGUCACACUGGAACUGAGACACGGUCCAGACUCCUACGGGAGGCAGCAGUGGGGAAUAUUGGACAAUGGGCGAAAGCCUGAUCCAGCCAUGCCGCGUGUGUGAAGAAGGUCUUCGGAUUGUAAAGCACUUUAAGUUGGGAGGAAGGGCAGUAAGUUAAUACCUUGCUGUUUUGACGUUACCAACAGAAUAAGCACCGGCUAACUUCGUG
rnacentral:rRNA from 1 species